UAAGGAAUAUUGGUCAAUGGACGGAAGUCUGAACCAGCCAUGCCGCGUGGAGGAUGAAGGUCCUCUGGAUUGUAAACUUCUUUUAUCUGGGGCGAAAAAGGGUCUUUCUAGAUCAACUGACGGUACCAGAUGAAUAAGCACCGGCUAACUCCGUGCCAGCAGCCGCGGUAAUACGGAGGGUGCAAGCGUUAUCCGGAUUCACUGGGUUUAAAGGGAGCGUAGGUGGGCUUGUAAGUCAGUGGUGAAAUCUCCGAGCUUAACUUGGAAACUGCCAUUGAUACUAUAGGUCUUGAAUAUUGUGGAGGUUAGCGGAAUAUGUCAUGUAGCGGUGAAAUGCAUAGAUAUGACAUAGAACACCAAUUGCGAAGGCAGCUGGCUACACAUAUAUUGACACUGAGGCUCGAAAGCGUGGGGAUCAAACA
rnacentral:rRNA from 1 species